GUUAAUAAAAAUUAUGUCUUGAAAACAUAUUUAAGAAUUAUAAAUUCUAUUAACU
rnacentral:tRNA from 1 species